UACAGAGGUCUCAAGCGUUGUUCGGAUUCAUUGGGCGUAAAGGGUGCGUAGGCGGCGCGGUAAGUCGGGUGUGAAAUCUCGGGGCUUAACUCCGAAACUGCAUCCGAUACUGCCCGACUAGAGGUAGGUAGGGGAGAUCGGAAUUCCUGGUGUAGCGGUGAAAUGCGCAGAUAGUCAGGAGGAACACCGGUGGCGAAGGCGGAUCUCUGGGCCUUACCUGACGCUCAGGUGCGAAAGCUAGGGGAGCGAACAGG
rnacentral:rRNA from 1 species